rnacentral:rRNA from 4 species
UACGUAGGUGGCAAGCGUUGUCCGGAAUUACUGGGUGUAAAGGGAGUGUAGGCGGGAUAUCAAGUCAGAAGUGAAAAUUACGGGCUCAACUCGUAACCUGCUUUUGAAACUGACAUUCUUGAGUGAAGUAGAGGCAAGCGGAAUUCCUAGUGUAGCGGUGAAAUGCGUAGAUAUUAGGAGGAACACCAGUGGCGAAGGCGGCUUGCUGGGCUUUUACUGACGCUGAGGCUCGAAAGCGUGGGGAGCAAACAGG